AUGGUUAUGGGGGUCAUCAGCAGCAACAUGCUACGCAUCCCAAUGGUGUGGAAUUGGAUGGUCUUUGAUGGUUGGAUGCUAUUUGAAUUUAGUAACUGAUACCCACAACACACACACACAGGGGGAUGGGUGGUGAUCCAGCAACAGGAGAUGGAGCAUAUCCAAAGAAAGCCAUUAGACAGAGCGAGAGGCAGAGAGUGUUUGGUGGGAGAGUAAGAGGGAGGAUGGCAUCGUUUGUUGGCGAAAUUGCCACAAUAAAUGCCAAAAUGUGAUUGUGCUUUAAUAGUGCCGCUUCGACUUCGACUUCGACUUCGACUUUGGCCAUGGCUUUGACUGCCACAAGAAACACUCACAUGGACAUCGACUCAAACACAUUCA
rnacentral:lncRNA from 1 species